GUUCUUGUAGUUGAAAAGACAACGAUGGUUUUUCAGACCGUAGGUCUUGGAUAGAAGCCAAGUGAGAAUU
rnacentral:tRNA from 1 species